AUCCACAUGACGAGUCCCGAAUAGGACGAAAAGCACAUCCUGGCGGAU
rfam:Trichobilharzia regenti genome assembly, scaffold: TRE_contig0002048